AUGAUACUAGCAAGAGUCCUAUUCUUCUCCUCUCGAUCCUACCUUGGGUUAUGUUUGACAGGGAUGGUCAGUGAACUUCUAUUGGUUUCAAAGGAGGAUAGAGAUCCAUUGGGGAAGGCUCGAAAGGUUAUUCGAUAUCAAAGGUUGACCCUCGAUGCACCACAGCCACUAUUUUUUUACUCCUUUUAUGCAAUUAUGAACGAAACUUUCCCGAUUCCAAUGCAACUUAUCCUUUUGGAGUUGACGUAA
rnacentral:rRNA from 1 species